AGUAGCACAUAUACAUGUGUAUGAACAAUGCCUACAGCCGCCAUACAUGUAGGUAUGGUGAAGAAACAUGCUUUCUAACUGAUAUUCUUUCAUCCCUACUUUUGUUUUCCUCAUAACCUCAACAUGAGCUUCAGAGCUUAUGUCAUUUGCAUAUUGAAUGAGAGCAAGCUCUAAAUCGGACUUUAUAACACGGCAUUCAGUUAGGAUAGGAUGCAAUGUGCUUAGAUCUGUCUGGAACUUCUCAAUACCCUGAAAUUCUGCUGGUUUAAAAUACUUGUUGCUAUCAGUAUUAAGCCCAUGCAAGAGAAAUAGUAAUGCUGCUCCUGUCGCUUGGUACUGAUCAACCAAAACUUCCUUAAUCUCAUCAGUAUAGAAGACCUGGGUAACCUUGUACUUUUCCUGGAAGUGAGAAGGUGGUUGUAUUUCUCCCAUCCAAACAGCAUAGUCAGCGGGUAACCUAGGAAUAAAGAGCAUAGAUUUCCCACUUGCUAUAUCAAUAGUUCCGUAAAAUCCAGGCUCUUCCACUCCAAACAAGUAGGCGAAAUAGCUCUCCUGUCUGAACAGUUCUAGGUGAUCGGUGCAAUGUCGAGUUUGCUCUUCGCCACCCUGUAAGAGAACAAAGCCUUGGAGAGGACGAGCGCAUGAAGUGAGGUGGUUACGCAGAGAGUUGAAGAGCUUCUCUCGAUUAAGUGAAUGGAGUUCCAUGCGAAUCAUCGGAGGAGACAUGGAUGAUGGCGAAGAAGAAGCCAUUACAGAGGUUACCACCGAUCAAGCCG
rnacentral:misc_RNA from 1 species